rnacentral:rRNA from 1 species
GAUGAACGCUGGCGGCGUGCCUAAUACAUGCAAGUCGAGCGAACGGACGAGAAGCUUGCUUCUCUGAUGUUAGCGGCGGACGGGUGAGUAACACGUGGAUAACCUACCUAUAAGACUGGGAUAACUUCGGGAAACCGGAGCUAAUACCGGAUAAUAUUUUGAACCGCAUGGUUCAAAAGUGAAAGACGGUCUUGCUGUCACUUAUAGAUGGAUCCGCGCUGCAUUAGCUAGUUGGUAAGGUAACGGCUUACCAAGGCAACGAUGCAUAGCCGACCUGAGAGGGUGAUCGGCCACACUGGUACUGAGACACGGUCCAGACUCCUACGGGAGGCAGCAGUAGGGAAUCUUCCGCAAUGGGCGAAAGCCUGACGGAGCAACGCCGCGUGAGUGAUGAAGGCCUUCGGAUCGUAAAACUCUGUUAUUAGGGAAGAACAUAUGUGUAAGUAACUGUGCACAUCUUGACGGUACCUAAUCAGAAAGCCACGGCUAACUACGUG